CAUUAUGUAUUUUCCUUUUGGAACUGAAAACAUGGUCAAUUAGUGAAACCCAUAUCGAGCCCGGUCCCCGACGAGUGGUACCCAACCCUAGCCAUCUUCAUGCUCGCGAUCGGCUGCAUCGUCACCACUUCUUUCUUCAGAUGGUAUAUUUGGGGAUUAAGCUUCUACGGGCCGGAAGCUCUAACGAGCCAACUACACCCAAUGAUGUUGGGACCCAAUAACAUUGGGAGCCUCCAACCUCACCCAGUCUCCACUCCCAGUAUUUGAGACUUGGUAAAAAGACAUGUUGGUGUUCGUGGUGGUGAUUGGCAGGCAGUAAGACUUGGUAAUAUAAAGGGGGUUUUUUUUAACGGAAGACUUUUUAGCCGACAGUGAUAUUUUUGUUCCCCCAUAAUGGCCAGUUUCGAAGAACCAUUCAAACAUAAACUUCAGGUAGCAUUAUUUGUUGUUUUCUACAUUUACAUUUCUGGAUAUUUGUCAGCUUUGAAUAUUAGAUUCACUCUACUCCAGCUAUAGCAUUGCUGCUUAUUUGGCUGCGAUUCAAGUUGUGUUUUUUGAUGAGAAGUCAGGUUAAAUGAAGAACGUGGUUAUUAGUAGAGAAGAGUAGUCCUUUUUUUUUUUUUUGGAAAGGCAAGAGUAGUCCUUUAUGUACAUAAUUCAAAUAAAUGGACCCUGUUUGAAGUUUAUUUGAGACACAGCCUGAAGGCGUGACGAAACAUGUCUUAUGGGAGAUUUUGUGUUCAUUGGUAAAAAGGGCAAUUCAAUUUUUGUUUCAACACAUGUUUUGUCGCACCUUCAGGCACGGGCAAUAUCAAAACCCUCCAAAUCUCAUUUGAAUUUUCAAUACUGUAUUGAGAAACUAUAUUACGGAAAUUGUGAUGAUUCAUUGAAAGUUUUCACUCCAUGAU